CAGGGGGGCAGUUAGAAGUGACCAGGCCGGCAAGAAGAGGCAGGGGUGAUCAAGCUGGCAGGUAGAGUGGUUAGGGGCGAUCAGGCAGGUGAGUGGUUAGUAGGUUGCAGUCCCGGAUUGAGAGAGUGAUGUCCAAUUGGCAGUUUAAACUGCAAUCAGACAUCCCUCGGAGGGCUCCAGGAUUGGAGAGGGUGCAGGCUCAGCUGAGGGACCCUCCCCUGCACAAAUUUCAUGCACCGGGUCUCUAGUGAAUUUUAUGUUCACAGAAGGCUUUUUAUAUAGCCAAAAAGCAUGCAUCUCUUUCCCAGUUUCAGCAUAGCUAUAUAAUGGAGUCAGUCUUUUCACCUGAGAUAAGUUCUUUUAAGAAAAGAAGCUUCUAGAAUAAUGCAGUAGAGGUCCGUGAGGGCCAGGACUCAGGGUUUUGUGAAGCCAAUCCUCAGCCAGUAGCACAAGCCCUGCCACAGCGUUGCCCAAUAAGCUGUCUGUAAAAUGCAUCUGCCGUGGUAUUUAGGUUCCGAAUUUAUCGGGUUUAGGUUUGGAAAAGAAGCUGGGCUGCUGGUGAUUGAUUUUGCUGGCCUGCCCUGCCGUGGAAAAAUACUGGCGCUCUGGGAUGACGGUCAUGUUUCCAGCCAGGUUGUGUGUGUGUGUUUUUUCCAAGCCAAGUUUUGUUUUGGAUCUUUAAAAGCCACUGAGCCAAGUAGUACCUGCACCGGAGCUCACAUACAUGGUGAAUCUUUGUCUUUCUCUUCUGGAGUAUUCAGAAACUGAACCGCUAGCGAUAGGCUCAAACCUCUGAGUGCCUUGUCCUGGCUACCAGGCAGGCCCUAGGCGAAGGAGGCAAGACUUGUGUGUGUUUUACUUCUUUUCAUUGCAUGGACUCAUGUUGUGACAUGGACUAAAGACUUCCUCCCUGGGCCCCUGAGAUCUCUCUGCUGCAUUCUAAACUUAACCUUCAGCCAGUUUCGGAGGUUGGAGUUGGGGGUGGGCGGACGUGGCACCUGUUGCUGAGUUGCUCUGAGGCUCAGCAGACCUAGAUUCAGAGUCCAGCCCCGCUGAGACCAGCUCUGUGACUUCAGGCUACAGAGGUAACUUCUCAGAGCCUCGGGGCCCUGUCUGUGCAGCAGGCUGUCUGCAGACAAAGGGACGUGACAGGCACACAUUUACCUGUAGGGCAUCUGGCCUUGAGGAAGUUGGGCAGAGUGGCUCUGCUGGGGGGAGAGGGCCUUGCCCAGUAAAAGGUAGCUUUCACUUCUGUUACAAUUACAUGCUCCGCAUCCGCAGCCUACUUCUUAGUGACUGAGUGAGGAGAAAGGAGAAAGAGUACACAUUUUUAGCACUCUUAUAUUAAUUGGCAAUGUGAACUAUUAGUGUUUGGCCCUGUCUUUCUGUUUCCCUUUCUUUCAUCAUUCUCUCUGAUGAAGGAAGAACACCGUUCUGGGUCACAUUCUAGCAUCUCCUGAGGCAGGAGGCUGUGCUCAGGGAGUUUGUCACUCCUGGUCCAGGGUCCGACUCUCCGCCUCGCUCUGGAACACGAUGCUCCGACCUCAGGGGAGGCAGAGUCCAUUUGAUGCCUGGCCAGUCCACAAAUCAGAGGGAACUUUUCAUUCUCAGAUCCGUGUGUUGCCAUGGACCCUGAACUGUAAAUAACAUUUGGGCAAUGCUCUUAAAAAAAAAAAAAAAAAAAAAAAAAAAAAAAGCAUGUACUCCCAGUGCUGAACUAUCAUUCCAAACUCUAGGAUUUUUUAGAAAAGCAGGUGCUUCUAGUUCAUGGCUGUUUGCUGAGUCUGCUGAUUCUGAUUUACUAGUAAAGGGGCACUAACUCCAAGUCACAGGCCAAAAUAAUUACCUGCCAAUUCUAUACAUUGUAAAGAAGGCUGUUUGCUUAAACGGGGCAUUCUGUAGGCUGACAGACAUGUAACAAAACACACUCGUUCACCCACUGACACCAUAUUCCCUACAAAUUAUUACGAAAGUGGCCCUUUCAGUAUUGAAGGAUCUCAGGUAGGCGAUGUCACAGAAGGAAGCAGGGCAGAUGGCUGCAGCUCCUUGCUCUGCCUUAUUCGUAGACCCCUGCGUGGGGACAGGGCACAGGGAGAGAACCGGUCACUUGCCCAGAGCUCCUGGGUUCUGGAGUCUCUUCCUCAUCAGUGUAUGUUAAUCUUAUAUUUUAAAACCUUGGGACACCAAACAUCAUGUUCAAAAUUAAAUGCACAUUCUAAAGCUAUAUAUUUGCACUCUCCUUUGCUGUUUGGGUUUAUCUGAUCUUUGCACAAUUCGCCUACUGUCUUCACCUGACGGUGAAGAAGAGAGAGUUGUCAUUUUCCAAUCCAUGGGCCAAGAAUGCAGCAGUCAUAAGAAUCCAACUCGUGUCUUCUCCUGCUCUCAGCUUUAUGACUCAGAAAUACCCAUGCACUCAUUCAGAGGCCUAUUCUUGGUCAGUAGGGGAAUCCCUGAUGACUGAUGACUCAAGAGUAAGAGUGUCGGUCUUCGAAUGGUUUUCCCAUGGUCCACUUCACAUCCGCCUGGCCUUUAUUGUCAGUCCAGCCAAAGCCCUGCUUUGUUUAUCUGACUCUUGGUUGGCUUUGGCUCUGCUCACAAAUCCAGCACAGACAAUCGCAUGUGACAGGUGAAAGCUGCAUUAACUUUUAGUAUGAACAGCCCUGUGGCUUCAGGUAUAUACUCUGAAAGUAAUUCUGGUGUAAUUCAAGUUGUAUUUAUGUUUUCUACACCUCAAACUUCAAGAUUUUUAUGUUUUUGAUGGUCAGAUACUUUUAUCAUGUACCAGUAUUAACUUUGGUAGAGUCAUGAUGAGUUUCAGCUUUCCAUAGUCAAAAAUUGAAUUAUAUUAGAUCACUUAUAGGUAUUAGUUCCUGAGGGUCAUUAAUUCUAAAUAUGAGCAAUUCAUAGAAAAUCUAAAUGUCAGCAUCAUGAGCCAAAGCAUUGGGUUGGUGAGCCUCUUCAUCUACUAAACUAGGAAAUUUGGAUUUUGAACAAAGAAUUAGAACAAAAAUUGGCCUUGGUGCAAUUUGCUCUCUCUGUCUGAUUUUACCAGCUAAGCCUUAUUCUAUAAAUCAGAGAUGUUUCUGCCAGCAGCUAGUCCACAAUGGGAACCUGCUGGCUUCUUUUUAUAUUCAGUGUGUCUUUUGGUCACUAAGCCAUCUAUUGUUUAUCUUGCACAUUAGAUCACACCACAUCAUGUGUUGACAGUGAAGAUAAGCCUUAACUUACAUGCAACACAUUAAAUGGAUACAUCUCGUAU